rnacentral:rRNA from 1 species
CAGGCCUAACACAUGCAAGUCGAGCGAGAAAGCCCGCAAGGGUGAGUACAGCGGCGCACGGGUGCGUAACACGUGGGUAAUCUGCCCUGAAGCCCGGAAUAACCUCCCGAAAGGGAAGCUAAUACCGGAUGAGACCACGGGAGCCUUGGCUCCUGUGGGAAAAGGUGGCCUCUGCAUGCAAGCUAUCACUUCAGGAUGAGCCCGCGGCCCAUCAGCUCGUUGGCGGGGUAACGGCCCACCAAGGCUACGACGGGUAGCUGGUCUGAGAGGACGAUCAGCCACACUGGAACUGAGACACGGUCCAGACUCCUACGGGAGGCAGCAGUGGGGAAUCUUGCGCAAUGGGCGAAAGCCUGACGCAGCAACGCCGCGUGUGUGAUGAAGGUCUUCGGAUCGUAAAGCACUGUCGGGAGGGACGAAUAAGGGCCAGGUGAACAAUCUGGUCCGAUGACGGUACCUCUAAAGGAAGCACCGGCUAACUCUGUGCCAGCAGCCGCGGUAAUACAGAGGGUGCAAGCGUUGUUCGGAAUUAUUGGGCGUAAAGCGCGUGUAGGCGGUCUCGCAAGUCGGAUGUGAAAGCCCUCGGCUUAACCGAGGAAGUGCGUUCGAAACUACGAGACUUGAGUACCGGA